AUUGAACGCUGGCGGCAGGCCUAACACAUGCAAGUCGAGCGGAGCGGCGGACGGGUGAGUAAUGCCUAGGAAUCUGCCUGGUCGUGGGGGAUAACGUCCGGCAACGGGAGCUAAUACCGCAUACUAUCAGAUGAGCCUAGGUCGGAUUAGCUAGUUGGUGGGGUAAAGGCCUACCAGGGCGACGAUCCGUAACUGGUCUGCGAGGAGGAUCAGCAACACUGGAAUUGAGACACGGUCCAGAAUCCUACGGGAGGCAGCAGGGGGGAAUAUUGCAAAAUGGGCGAAGGCCGGAUGCAGACAUGCCGGGUGUAUGAAGAAGGCCUUCGGGUUGUAAAGUACUUUAAGCGGGGAGGCGUUACCCGCAGAAGAAGCAACGGCUAACUCCGUGCCAGCAGCCGCGGUAAUUC
rnacentral:rRNA from 1 species